CCCUAGCCCGGAUAGAAGCGUAAAUCCUUUUUUGCCAUAGAAAAUUUUCUCUUUUUGUAUGAUUUCACCUGGCAAAAAAGAUUGCAGCGCAUAGCCGGAAUAGCU
rnacentral:sRNA from 1 species